UGGCGCGGCCUUUGUCUCACUUCAGCCAGAGAGCGGGGUUAGGGCUUCAUUGCCUUGUGUCCUCUGCUCCGGGAGACUUCGGUGAUUCUGCCACUCCCUCCGUCGCUCUGUGACCUGCUGGCAUUGAAUGAUUUAUAGCUAAGACUCCAGGACACCCCUGAAGCCGAGAAAUGAAAUCCCAAGUUGACCGUCAAGUCCAACGCUCGCUGCAGACAUCUAGUGGACCCGGCGCUCGCGGACGGAAGCGGACAGACCUAGUUGGAUCCUUAUCCCACCAAUCUGGCCCACCUUUGCUGCCAUCUAACUCCGCUGACCGGCCCACCGUUCCUCCACUGUUCGCUGGUUGACCCGGGCAGCGGAGAGAGGAGAUCUUCAAAAGUGAAGUGGAGACAUGAGAGAUAUAAAGAGAAGCAUCCAGUCUACUAUUGAAGCAAUAGUGGACCGAAAAACUACCACCAAAAUGAUGGUGCUACAAAAAUACCAACCGAUCCCCUGGGAAGAAUAUGUGCCUACACAGGAAGAGAUAAACGAUUAUGGUGCUCUUUAUUAAUCUACAUUUAUAGCGAGCACCAAAGGGGGAGAUGAAGAAAGAAUUCAUGAAUUUUACAAGUAUAAUCAAAGACAAGACAUUUUUACUUUUUCCUUCAAAAGCUAAGUGUAGUGUAGCAACCUCACCCACCUCCCCCGACCCCGCCCCGGUAGAAUACUAACUGCCUGUUUUUCCUUCUGUGCUCAGCGAGCCUUAUCUGUACUUGCUAGUUUCACAUUCCUUGAGGCUCAGUGAGUUCCUGCUUCACCUCUCUAGGGCAGCUGCAAAGUUACAAGGUUGAUACAGAAACAUGGUUUCCCAG
rnacentral:lncRNA from 10 species